rnacentral:rRNA from 1 species
UGAGGGGGGCUGCUCCUAGUACGAGAGGACCGGAGUGGACGCAUCACUGGUGUUCGGGUUGUCAUGCCAAUGGCACUGCCCGGUAGCUAAAUGCGGAAGAGAUAAGUGCUGAAAGCAUCUAAGCACGAAACUUGCCCCGAGAUGAGUUCUCCCUGACUCCUUGAGGGUCCUGAAGGAACGUUGAAGACGACGACGUUGAUAGGCCGGGUGUGUAAGCGCAGCGAUGCGUUGAGCUAACCGGUACUAAUGAACCGUGAGGCUUAACCUUACAACGCCGAAGCUGUU